UAUCGUUCUAAGUGAGUGACGUCACACUGCCAAGAAAAGCUUCUAGUUAGAAUCAGACCGCCCGUACCGCAAACCGACACAGGUAGUCGGGUCGAGAAGACCAAGGUGAGCGAGAGAACUCUCGUUAAGGAACUCGGCAAAAUGACCCCGUAACUUCGGGAGAAGGGGUGCUGAUCGCAAGAUCAGCCGCAGUGAAUAGGCCCAGGCGACUGUUUAUCAAAAACACAGGUUUCUGCAAAAUCGUAAGAUGAAGUAUAGGGGCUGACGCCUGCCCGGUGCUGGAAGGUUAAGAGGAUGGGUUAGCGCAAGCGAAGCUCAGAAUUGAAGCCCCAGUAAGCGGCGGCCGUAACGAUAACGGUCCUAAGGUAGCGAAAUUCCUUGUCGGGUAAGUUCCGACCCGCACGAAAGGCGUAACGAUCUGGGCACUGUCUCAACGAGAGACUCGGUGAAAUUAUAAUACCCGUGAAGAUGCGGGUUACCCGCGACAGGACGGAAAGACCCCAUGGAGCUUUACUGUAGCUUGAUAUUGGGUGCUUGUACAACUUGUACAGGAUAGGUAGGAGCCGUAGAAGUCGGGACGCUAGUUUCGACGGAGGCAUCGGUGGGAUACUACCCUCGUUGUAUGAACACUCUAACCCACGCCGGCAAUCACGGCGGGAGACAGUGUCAGGUGGGCAGUUUGACUGGGGCGGUCGCCUCCUAAAAGGUAACGGAGGCGCCCAAAGGUUCCCUCAGAAUGGUUGGAAAUCAUUCGCAGAGUGUAAAGGCAUAAGGGAGCUUGACUGCGAGACCUACAAGUCGAGCAGGGACGAAAGUCGGGCUUAGUGAUCCGGUGGUUCCGCAUGGAAGGGCCAUCGCUCAACGGAUAAAAGCUACCCUGGGGAUAACAGGCUUAUCUCCCCCAAGAGUCCACAUCGACGGGGAGGUUUGGCACCUCGAUGUCGGCUCAUCGCAUCCUGGGGCUGUAGUCGGUCCCAAGGGUUGGGCUGUUCGCCCAUUAAAGCGGUACGCGAGCUGGGUUCAGAACGUCGUGAGACAGUUCGGUCCCUAUCCGUCGUGGGCGCAGGAAAUUUGAGAGGAUCUGUCCUUAGUACGAGAGGACCGGGAUGGACAUACCUCUGGUGUACCAGUUGUUCUGCCAAGGGCAUCGCUGGGUAGCUAUGUAUGGAUGAGAUAAACGCUGAAAGCAUCUAAGUGCGAAACUCACCUCGAGAUAAGAUUUCCCACUCCUUUAUGGAGUUAAGACCCCUGAGAGAUGAUCAGGUAGAUAGGAUGGAAGUAGAAGUGCGGCGACGCAUGGAGCGGACCAUUACUAAUCGGUCGAGGACUUAAUC
rnacentral:rRNA from 1 species